AGUCAAAUAUCUGGAAAGUUCCAGCAUUUUCUGUUCCAUUCUUGCCCUUGGCCUUUCUGUCUGUUACGCCUUUGUCUACAUGUAGAAAGGUUCUAUAGCUUCACACAGAUAAGGUGCCCAGACUUGAUCAUCAUUUGGAUAGGCUUGCAGGAGACCUGGAUUCUCAUCCUAGAUCUGCUUCUUCUUAGCAGUGUGACCUUGGCUAGGUUAACCUCUCUGAAUGUCAGUUCACUCUAUAAAUGACUCUAGUGAACAUGAACUGUAAUUAUGUGGCUGACUUACCAUGUAAGAGAUGAAUCUGACCAUUUUCUCUGGGCCAGAGAAGAGAAAGCAUUAGCACAGACCAGCUCUUAGAAAUGGCUGUUUUAAGCAUUUCUCUUCGGCCAAUGCUGUGGCCUGCUUUGCUUAAUGAGAUUUAUUCAUAAAAGUGAUCACUGCCUUCUUCUACCUGCCACAGAGGAAGUGUGGGCUGUGAAUGUGACCAGUAGAAGCCCACAUUUAUCAUCCAACCACAAAGCCCUGAGUUUCUGGUGGUCUCACCGGGCAGAUGGGCCAUUCAGGUAUGCCCACAAGAUACGUCUCUUUGCGUUCAAGCCUCAUUUCUUCUUUUAGAAAGUUCUGUGAUCUCUGUCUUGCCUAGACCUUACAAGGUUGCUGUGAAGAUGAGAUUCCAUAAAAGAACGUGUGGGCUGUUUCAAGGUUCUGUGUUAAUGAUAAGUAUGGUGCUGGUGAAGAUGGUGCUGUGUUGUGAAGUGGGAGCGGAGGGCUUGGAUUCCAGAGCUGCAUGUAUUCAAAUCCAAGGUCUGCCACUUUAGGGGAGGUGCCUCCCAUCCUUGGGUCUCAGUCCUCAAAGGUGGAGUGGGGAUAAGUGUGCCUACCUGGCAACUGAUUGUGAAGAUUAAAUGAUAGGAAAAAUACUGUAAAGUGCUUACAACUGUGAGUUGCAAACUUGAGUAAAACCUCAAUAAAUUGUGGCUGUCAUUAUUAUUUUUUCUCUCACUAUGUCUUGUGUGCUGUAGGUGCCCCAGGUAUGUUUCUGUGGAUGACAUGGUUCAUUAACAGUUCAUGUUUAUUCAUUCUGCAUCAGAGCUCAGUUACCCCAGCACCGUGAGGUGUACUUAUAUGAAUAAAGAUUCCAGUCUGAUCUCUCUGAAAUUCAGUACUGGAAGAAGCCUGGUGGGGUUUUAAGAACAAGCUGGUUGGAGAUUUUGGAUGCUCAUCCUCUGUUGCUUCUCAUCUGUUAAGGGCGUGUGUGAUGACAGGGAGAUGAGUUGAGGUGAUGCAUGGCAAGCACAGGUCUGGUCCAUAGUGUGGUCCAUAGGAAGGCCUCCGUCAUCCAACGCUGUCUUUUCUUUAGCUGCUGCAUGCUGUUUUCUAUCUGUGUCUAUUUGGUAAGAUGUUACUUACGUUAUUCAAAUCUGUAUCCUUACUGAAUUUGGUUGGUUGGUUCUAUCAGGAGAGGAAAGUUUCCAACUAGGAUUGUAGAUGUUCUGUUUUCUCCUUUUACUUUUGCCAAGUUUUCUUGUUUUAGUUGCAGAGUUUAACAUAUUGAGAUGUAAUUAAUAUGCCAUAAAAUUCACCAUUUUAUUUUAUUUUAUUUAUUUAUUUAUUUAUUUAUUUUUUUCCUGGGAUUUGCGCGGAGCUCGCGGCCGCUGGGCGUCUCUCUAUUCACUCCGUCUGUCCGACCGCCCGAGCCCUAGUGCCUCAAGCAAGAGAGCCAGCUGCUUGCCGCGCGCAGCUCCCUGGGUCGACUCAAAAUUCACCAUUUUAAAGAAUAAAAUUCAGUUGUAUUUCGUAUAUUCACAAGAUUACACAAACAUUACCACUAAUUAAUUCUAGAACAUUUUCAUCACCUCUUCCUCUCCCCACCAAAAAAAGCCCCCUACCCAUUCAGUCACCCCCUAUGCCUUCUCCCCAGCACUUGACCAUGACUGAUCUACUUUUUCUCUCUAUGGAUUUUCCAGUU
ensembl:lncRNA